ACUGUCCCUGCAGGCAAUGCAAGUAUGGCUACUGUGUUACAUUUGUGUCAGUAGGUGGCAGAGAGGAGAGAGGCUAUGUCUAAACUGGGAACACCUGAAUGAUUAGUAGCCUGACACU
ensembl:snoRNA